UUCAAAAUGGCGGCGGCUGUCCGUGACAUCCAUGCUUCAGGCAGCCGUCGUCUGGAAGAUGGUUUGCUCUCGUUCAACAUUAUCGGAAGAGGAAAAUAGCUGUCAUUAACUUGGACUUGUGGCUGGCUUGUCGUCUGCAUUUGCUGAUGAUCUCCUGAGCGCUGACGACCAAUAAAAACAGCUCUGCGUUCCCCGGCCCCCAAAACGUCGGCUCCCUAUAUUUCUACGAACCCAUGUUGAAUAUCCACGUUUCUGAACCAAAAUACGGUUUACAUCAGCCCCGUGUCCGUGCUUUCAGAAAAGCAAGUGAAAAGUCAGUCUUUACUUUUUGUGGUUUCACACAACAAGCAGCGUUCUCCCGAGUGAAAGUCCUGUGUUUGUUACACACCCCACAACAACAACAACAACAACAGUGGACACAAAGUGGAUGGAAAGACACCUGCAAACAGAUUACGGGUGACUGCCUGCACGUACGAGACGGUGCUAUGGACGUGGUUGCCGUGGAACAUCUGGUCUCAUCUAUUAGCUAGCGUAUUACUUUUUUAGAUCAAUUUUAUUAUUUACUUAAAUUACUUGUGGUCAUUUUGUCCACCACUUAAAAACAGUUCAGCGUCAGCCUUAGCGUUGCUUUUAUGUAUUGUUAUACAUCGUCUUGGUUAAAAAAAAAAAAAGUUUGGGAACAUUUGUCCAAACCUUUCACUGGUAAUGUAUGUAAAUUACUUACUGAAAUGAGCAGCAUAUUUGGGGGGAAAUGAAAUAGUGGAUAAUUACUGCCGUUGUGCUUUGACUGGAUUGCGGAUGUAAAACGUGCGUUUGCAUCGUCCGUGCUGCUGUCAGUAUCAACAGUUGUCCUUCUUUCUCACACCAUGAACAGAAAAGGUUAAGGUCUGUGCUUGGAGGUGGAUGGUGCCAAACGCUACCCAACUGCAGCCUCCCCCCUCCAUCUUCCUCCUGUCCUCCAUCCUCCCUCUUCCCCCCCCCCCUCUGUCCUAGGAGGUGUCGCUACGGAACAUGAGUAAUGAUGUUGUCAUCUCUGUCAGUCUCCAUUUAUCAAUGUCAAAUGGGAAGCAGGAUUGCGGUGCAUGUGUGUGUGUGUGUGUGUGAAGGUGGUGCUGGUGGGUUCUGGGGGAGGGGGGUGUAGAGAGGGGAGGAGAAAAUACGCAGCUAGUUCGAGGAGAAAAGAAAGAUGUGGCAGGAAUGUGAAGAGAAAUGGUAGAGGAAGGUGGCCACGAUGAAGAGGAGAGGCGAGGAAAAGGGGCGUGGCCGAGAGAGGACGAGGAGAAGUGAGUUUGAGAAGGACGAGUCACAACAAAAAGGCCCCGCGUGAGAUCUCUCUCCGUCCGUCCGUCCGUCCGUCUGCUGACGCCAACAGGGAGCCCAUGAUUCAUCGUCACCAUCACUGCCAGACAGAAUUAAGGCGCUGCUCUUUAGCAUAUGCAAGUCUAAUUAUGCAAAUCGGGGCCGGUGGACCAAACAGCAGUGCAGCAGCUAGUCCGUCUGCGUUUAGGCGCUAUGCGGAUGUUUGUGCGUGUGCAUUCGUCCCCAUCAGUCCUGCGACCCUGGAAUGACUCUCUUGUCCGCUAACAGGGUCAUUUUGAGGUGUAUUUGAGAAGAAAGUAUACCGAAAUGUACAAUAACAAACUUAGCGAUUGAUGAAAUUCAUAACAUUUAAAAAAAAUUAAAUAAAUAACAAAACAUA